UACAGAGGCCUCGAGCGUUAGGCGGAAUCACUGGGCUUAAAGCGUGUGUAGGCGGGUCGUUAAGUGUCUUGUGAAAUCCCCCGGCUCAACCGGGGAAUGGCUGGGCAUACUGGCGAUCUUGAGCAGUCUAGGGGCAGAUGGAACAGACGGUGGAGCGGUGAAAUGCGUAGAUAUCGUCUGGAACGCCAAAGGUGAAAACAGUCUGCUGGGGACUUGCUGACGCUGAGACACGAAAGCCAGGGGAGCGAACGGG
rnacentral:rRNA from 1 species